AAAAAGUUCCUCUCCAGAUUUCUUGUAGGCCCCCUUUAGGGGGAGCACCGGCAGCUGCUCCAAGGUCUCCCGGAGCCUUCCCUCCUCCUGACUGAACAGCUUCAUCUCGUCCUGUCCCCUGAGCAGGACUGAAGCCUUCUACAUGCGCUGCUCACGAACCUAAAGCCGCCACAGCUGCUGCUGACCCCCCUCCGCUCUGCCCGGCCCUCCCAGCACCACAUUGUCUGCUCGCGCACCUCCCAGGCAUUAACCAAGGAGGAAACCAGCAGUACAAUUUUCAUUUCUGAAGAUAUUUUCUGCCAGUUGUUUACUUCAUCUGUGUAUGUUUACUCACUUCAGUCAGCCAAAGCAGGACAAGGUAAGCCAGAAGCACUCAGGAUAGUGCUGAAGUUGAACAUGGCCAGACAGUGGGAUACCAAUAGCUCUAUGAGCAGUGAGGAUGUUCUGUUAAGUACAGUCUUAAAGAUAAACACACCUUGCCUUACACCAUCUAUGCCAAGCAAGGCAGUAACGAGAUGUCCUUUACUGGACGUACUAAAUUUUAAUCUGUGACAAAAGAUUCCUUCUUUUAUUCCAUUUGUUUGUCUAUUGGCCAGAGUUCUGACUAACAUAUCUUUGAUUCAAUGUGAAUUCUGAGUUUGUAUAAUUUCUAGUGGUAAAAAUAUGAUGUUGUGAAUCCUGAUCUAGGAUCCUGAUGACUAUGCCAGUUUCUUGCAGAAUGAGUGGUUUAGCUCACUUAAAGAAUCACUGGUAAAUGGACCAGCAAAGGUGGUUUUAAUAUGAAUUUGUAAAAGUGAGACUUAAGAGAGUCAAAUUAGGAUCAAUUUAGAAUGAUUUAUGAGGCCAAAGAAACAAAAGUGUAAGGGAGACCCUUCUGUUGAGUCAUGAGUUUCCAAGUAGACCUCCCUGCUUUCUGAACUCAUGGAACUUAGGUCUAAUCUUAGUCUCCACCUUGGAUAACAGUUUAUGUCUAAAGGAACUGACUAUAUGGAUUUAAUCAGCAUUAAUUGAGCAUGCUGUCAGCAGCUUACUGAGGACCUGUUGCAAGUAAGGGGGUCUCUGCCUUGUGUAGGAAAGAUACUCCAGUCUCAGUAAGAAAUCUGCAACCUUGAGCUCAAAGAGAGAUCACUACGAUACAGCCAAACUGCCUAGCACAGGGAGAGUUCCAAGAAGUCUGCCAUUGUGGAACAAUGGCUGAUGGAGCAUGGGCAUGCGAAUUGGGAAGGGCUGAAUAAUCCCUGACUUUGACUUUUAUGAAGGCUUGCACAACCCAGGCUUGGAACUGAGUGAAUGACAGUGAACUGUUGUGGACUGGCUGCAAAGCAGUGGGCAUAUUGUGCCCAAUCCCGAUGUUUUAGCAUUAGAAGAUGGUAUUUAUGGAGAGUGCAGCCACAAUCCUAAGUCAGCAAGUGCCUACAUGAAGCUUCACAUGAAUCGAGGAUGAAGACAGCUGUGAGUAAAGAAGCAAAAGCAGCAGUGCAAGCAAGAUAAGAAGAAACUGGGAUGUGUUAACACACAAUAGUGAACUGUUAGCAAGUUUUGGAGACUAGACUCUCAUAGGCUUAAUGUAACAAGAUUGUAUCUUAGCUGCUGUGUGCUAUACUGUACAUGUAUCCACUAUUACAGUGAGCUAUUGAUUAUGCAUCCACUCUUAAUACAGCCAGUUAUUGUGUAUGGAUCCAAGUAUAAUACACUGAGCUAUUGUAAGCAGACGCAGAGACUAACAUGGAAAUUCUAGCUUAGCCAAUAGCUAUAUAUAGAUAGGCAGGUGGACAAACUAAUGUAACCAAUGAAAGAGUAUUUAGUAGCGCAUGGGCUAUCAGUAACUGUAUAAAUAUAGGCGAUGGCGAUCAAUAAAGUGAACAAGAUGUGUAACUCA